CCAAUAUCCUUGAUAUUGGCUAUACCUAUAGCUUUAUUGCCGUGCCAAGUCGACUGGUAUAGGGAAACUGUUACACCGUCACAGGCAAGCA
rnacentral:tRNA from 1 species